CUGAUCUUGAAAUCCAUGUGUUUUUAGAUGUUCAACAAUCCUAUCCUUUAACAUGGUUUCCAUUACUUUCCCCACUACUGAUGUAAGGCUUAUUGGCCUAUAGUUGCCUGACUCCUCCCUACUACCUUUCUUGUGAAUGGGCACAACAUUAGCUAUCUUCCAAUCUUCUGGGACUACUCCUGUUAACAAUGAUUGGUCAAAUAAAUUUGUUAAUGGUUUUGCUAGUACACCACUAAGCUCUUUUAAUAACUUUGGGUGUAUUCCAUCAGGUCCCAUUGACUUAUUUGUCUUUACUUUUGACAGUUGAAAUAGAACCUUUUCC